UACGAAGGGAGCGAGCGUUGUUCGGAAUCACUGGGCUUAAAGCGUGCGUAGGCGGAUAUGUAAGUAAGAAGUGAAAUCCCUGGGCUUAACCCAGGAACUGCUUUUUAGACUGCAUGUCUUGAAUUCGGUAGAGGUUAGUGGAAUAUCCAGUGUAGAGGUGAAAUUCGCAGAUAUUGGAUGGAACACCAGUGGCGAAGGCGACUAACUGGACCGA
rnacentral:rRNA from 1 species